CAACUACUCCCUCUGUCCCAAAUUUCUUGUCUUAGAUUUGUCUAGAUACGGAUGUAUCUAAUACUAAAAUGUGACUUGAUACAUCCGUAUCUAGAAAAAUGUAAGACAAGAAUUUUGGGACGGAGGGAGUACUUU
rfam:Triticum aestivum genome assembly, contig: Triticum_aestivum_CS42_TGACv1_scaffold_346077_4DL